rnacentral:ncRNA from 2 species
GUCAUCGCACGCGGGAGCCCGGACGGACCGGGCUGAGAGGGAGGCUGGCGGCCUCCGACCGUACGAACCUGAUCCGGGUCGUUCCGGCGAAGGGAGGAGACGCGAAUGCCA